UGUAGCCCUCCUCUCACCCUGGUCCAGUCAGCCAGCCACACUGCUCUCUGAUCCACAGCACCACUGCAGUAAGGUGAGGGAAGGACGGAGGGGCACUCAGCCAGCCACACAGCUCUCUGAUCCACAGCACCACUGCAGUAAGGUGAGGGAAGGACGGAGGGGCACUCAGCCAGCCACACAGCUCUCUGAUCCACAGCACCACUGCAGUAAGGUGAGGGAAGGACGGAGGGGCACUCAGCCAGCCACACAGCUCUCUGAUCCACAGCACCACUGCAGUAAGAUUUGAGAGACAGAAAGAGAGAGUUGAUUGAGCUGGGCCUUGAUGAGCUGAUGGAGCUGACGGCGCAGAGCCUGAGCCACCUAGAGAUUAAAGAGCACUUCAACAUCAUCAAGGAAAUCGGCUGGGGGGAGUAUGACAAGGUGCUGCUGGUCACCCAUCGCUGCAGGGGAACACCGAUGGCCUCCACCAAGCUCCGGGGAUUCCUACGGGAGUAUUGCAUCUCCUUGCACCUGUCCUGCCACUCCUGCAUUGUGGGUCUCUUCGGAAUUGCCUUCCAAUCCAAUGAGCGCUAUGGCUUUGCCCAGGAGCUUGUUAUUGGGAGGGAAAGUAAAAGAGUAAACUUAACUCAUUGUUUAAUUUUGAUGUAGUAAAUCUGUGACCUAUAAAGUGUUUAAGAAAACAAUUAAAAGGUGCAUGUUAUCAAUGUUAUUCCUUUAAGUAUCCAUAAAGCUCAAUGUGUUGUCAAAAAAAUUCCAUAUGGACUGUACAGUCUUCUAAUUCACAUGUUAGACAGGUACAAUGACCCCAGAACAAAUGGUGUAGCCAUGUUGCAAGGCACACUAUCCAUAACCC